rnacentral:rRNA from 1 species
UACGUAGGGGGCAAGCGUUGUCCAGAUUUAUUGGGCGUAAAGAGCGUGUAGGCGGCCAGGUAGGUCUGCUGUGAAAACUCGAGGCUUAACCUCGAGCUGUCGGCGGAAACCAUCUGGCUAGAGUCCGGAAGAGGAGAAUGGAAUUCCCGGUGUAGCGGUGAAAUGCGCAGAUAUCGGGAAGAACACCCGUGGCGAAGGCGGUUCUCUGGGACGGUACUGACGCUGAGACGCGAAAGCGUGGGGAGCGAACAGG